rnacentral:rRNA from 1 species
ACGGAAGGCAGCAGUGAGGAAUAUUGGUCAAUGGGCGGAAGCCUGAACCAGCCAAGUCGCGUGAAGGAUGAAGGUAUUAUGUAUUGUAAACUUCUUUAGACGCAGAGAAAUAAGGGGCUCGUGAGCUUUGAUGCUAGUAUGCGUAGAAUAAGGAUCGGCUAACUCCGUGCCAGCAGCCGCGGUAAUACGGAGGAUCCGAGCGUUAUCCGGAUUUAUUGGGUUUAAAGGGUGCGUAGGCGGGAAGUCAAGCCAGCCGUAAAAUCGCCGGGCUCAACCCGGUCCCGCGGUUGAAACUGUCUUCCUUGAGUACACUAGAGGGCGAUGGAAUUCGUGGUGUAGCGGUGAAAUGCAUAGAUAUCACGAAGAACUCCGAUUGCGUAGGCAGUCGCCUGGGGUGCCACUGACGCUGAGGCACGAAGGUGCGGGUAUCAAACAGGAUUAGAUACCCUGGUA